UACGUAGGGUGCGAGCGUUGUCCGGAAUUAUUGGGCGUAAAGAGCUCGUAGGCGGUGUGUCACGUCGUUCGUGAAAACCUGCAGCUUAACUGUGGGCGUGCGGUCGAUACGGGCAUCACUGGAGUUCGGCAGGGGAGACUGGAAUUCCUGGUGUAGCGGUGAAAUGCGCAGAUAUCAGGAAGAACACCCAUGGCGAAAGCAGCUCUCUGGGACGGUACUGACGCUGAGACGCGAAAGCGUGGGGAGCGAACAGG
rnacentral:rRNA from 1 species